rnacentral:miRNA from 1 species
CAAAGUUGAUCGUGUUUAUGACGUCGAAUAUCGACGUCAUAAACACCAAAUUGAUCGUGUUUAUGACGUCGAAUAUCGACGUCAUAAAUACCAAAG